AGCGAACGCUGGCGGCAGGCCUAACACAUGCAAGUCGAACGAACUCUUCGGAGUUAGUGGCGGACGGGUGAGUAACACGUGGGAACGUGCCUUUUGGUUCGGAAUAACUCAGGGAAACUUGUGCUAAUACCGAAUGUGCCCUUCGGGGGAAAGAUUUAUCGCCAUUAGAGCGGCCCGCGUCUGCUUAGCUAGUUGGUGAGGUAACGGCGCACCACGGCGUCGAUCAGUAGCUGGUCUGAGAGGAUGACCAGCCACACUGGGACUGAGACACGGCCCAGACUCCUACGGGAAGCAGCAGUGGGGAAUCUUGCGCAACGGGCGAAAGCCUGACGCAGCCAUGCCGGGUGAAUGAUGAAGGUCUUAGGAUUGUAAAAUUCUUUCACCGGGGACGAUAAUGACGGUACCCGGAGAAGAAGCCCCGGCUAACUUUGUG
rnacentral:rRNA from 1 species